GCGUGAGUGAUGAAGGCCCUAGGGUUGUAAAGCUCUUUCAGCAGGGAAGAUGAUGACGGUACCUGCAGAAGAAGCCCCGGCUAACUCCGUGCCAGCAGCCGCGGUAAUACGGAGGGGGCUAGCGUUGUUCGGAUUUACUGGGCGUAAAGCGCGCGUAGGCGGCUUGGAAAGUUGGGAGUGAAAGCCCGGGGCUCAACCCCGGAACUGCUCUCAAAACUUCCAAGCUAGAGAUCUGGAGAGGAGGGUGGAAUUCCAAGUGUAGAGGUGAAAUUCGU
rnacentral:rRNA from 1 species